GCACACAGUGUUCUCUCUCUAUCUGGUAACUGCUUCUAACUUGCAGCCCACUCAGCUCUAGAGAACCCUGAUUGCUUUAAGCCAAGCAGCACAUCCCAUUGGCCUUUUCACUGUAAUUAACUCAAGUCAGAAGAUGUGGUUCAGGUGAAUGAUAAAGGAGGAAAUGUCUGCUGGGGGCUUCUGGGGAGAAUGCUUUCUAGCUCAGCGAACUUUAAGGAAAGCGAUUCUCUCUCCUUGCUGGACAUUUACACAGAAUAAGAAAGAUCAAUGUGCGAGAAGUCAUUCUGGAACUCUGAAGAAACCCAACCUUAGGGUUAAACAAGAUACCAAGAAGACCAAGGAGAAAAAGGAAGAUAAAAUGUUUUUGAUGAUACAACGGAGCCACUUAAGCCUUGUUUCAAAGCUUGGACUAUUUCUUUAUUUUUCAGCUACUCGAGAGUCUAAGUUCCCUUUUUGAAUUAAGCCAGUUUUGACCUAGAUUUUCUCUGACUUGAAACCAAAAGAUUCAUAAUAUUCGUGGGUGACAACUUGGUUCCAUGUUCAUCAUCACAUUCACUUAUUAUUUUUUCAGAACAGCAAGUAUGACAAGGAUCUGAAGGACCAAAGGGGACCAUUGCUUAUCAUAAAGUGUAAGCAGGCAAAAUUUACCUGUCAGAGCCUGAGUAGAGCUGGCUGGCCUGAUUAAGGGCCAUGAUCUCACAGAGUGCUCUUCCCUGUGUCCUACGUUAGUGAACUGCAUCCCAGUCAAUUAUGUGUGCGGUAGUCAUAAAGCCUAAUUAUGAAGACACGAUGAGAUCAUUGCACAGCUGAACCACGAGGUAACGGCUACCCUAACAAGUCCAUCAGCUAGCACCAGCAUGAUCCCACACAGACCCUUCAUGGCUUUCCUAUUUACUACACAUUGUCAGGGCUCCUGGAGCAAAGUACCACAAACUGGGUGAAUUGAAACAACAGGAAUCGAUCAUCUCAUAGUUCUGGAGGCUACAUGCUUACAGUCAAGGUGUUGGAAGGGCCAUGCUCCCUCUGAAACCUAUAAGGAAGGAUUUUUUCCUUGCUUCUUCUAACUUCUGGUGUUUGCCAAUUCUAUUUUUAAUCAACCUCUACAUCCAAUGUGCAACCUGAACUCACAACGGCGAGAACAAGAGUCGUACUCUCCUCCAACUGAGCCAGUCAGGUGUCCCCUCCCCUCUUUUUUUGAUUCUACUUAAACAACUAUCUUUUUAGGAAAAAAUGCCUAUGGAUAAGGUAUCUCAAGAGAAAUAAAAUAUACAUUUUUAUUCAUAUUACCAAGUUAUCCAUGCAGUAAAGGGUUAUUUACUUCUACCAACAAUGCAUGAGAGUUCUAG